rnacentral:rRNA from 1 species
AUUGAACGCUGGCGGCAUGCCUUACACAUGCAAGUCGAACGGUAACAGGUUAAGCUGACGAGUGGCGAACGGGUGAGUAAUGUAUCGGAACGUGCCUAGUCGUGGGGGAUAACUACUCGAAAGAGUGGCUAAUACCGCAUACGACCUGAGGGUGAAAGCGGGGGACCGUAAGGCCUCGCGCGAUUGGAGCGGCCGAUAUCAGAUUAGCUAGUUGGGGGGUAAAAGCCCACCAAGGCGACGAUCUGUAGCUGGUCUGAGAGGACAACCAGCUACACUGGGACGGAGACACGGCCCAGAGUCCUACGGGAGGCAGCAGUGGGGAAUUUGGGACAAUGGAAGCAAGGCGGAUCCAGCCAUGCCGGGUGCGGGAAGAAGGCCUUCGGGUUGUAAACCGGUUUUGUCAGGGAAGAAACGAGUUUCUCUAAUACCGAGACUUAAUGACGGUACCUGAAGAAUAAGCACCGGCUAACUACGUGCCAGCAGCCGCCGUAACAC